AUGCUCGCUUUGACAGCACACAUACUAAAAUUGGAACGACACAGAGAAGAUUAGCAUGGACCCUGUGCAAGGAUGACAUGUAAAUUCAUGAACCAUUCCAUAUUUUU
ensembl:snRNA U6 U6 spliceosomal RNA